GCGAUUUAUUAGAAACCUUAUCAACCGUUUGAACACGCAAGACCGGUAACCAUAGCAACGCGGUAAACAAACCUCGCAAAGCCCAAUCCAGGUCUUACUGAAGGCAUUUAAUGGUCAAAAUAUUAUUAAUAAAUAUUCGAAUAUUAAUAAACAAACAAACUUCGAAUAGGAUUUUUGGGCAAAAGUCAAAGCCCUAGUUGCUAAUGACUAUGACCAAAAUAGGAAUGAAAAGGCAAGGAGAGGUGGGUCCGUACUGGCCACUAAACGAGGGAGGAGAACAGCAUGCUUGCGAGACCGAUGCGUGAGAUAGAAGAAGCAGUAGCUUCUCAAUAUUCUCGGGGUAGGGCAUUCAAUUCCCUGCUAAAAAAAGUUCCAGGUUUGAUCCCCAAUCCCCAAUGCCUACCUGUAGGCACAAGUGACCAUGUGA